GAUGAAGAACGCAGCGAAAUGCGAUAAGUAAUGCGAAUUGCAGAAUUCCAGUGAGUCAUCGAAUCUUUGAACGCACAUUGCGCCCGCUAGUAUUCUGGCGGGCAUGCCUGUCCGAGCGUCAUUUCAACCCUCAAGCCCCCGGGCUUGGUGUUGGGGAUCGGCGAGCCUCCGCGCCCGUCGUCCCCUAAAUCUAGUGGCGGUCUCGCUGUAGCUUCCUCUGCGUAGUAGCACACCUCGCACUGGGAAACAGCGCGGCCACGCCGUUAAACCCCCAACUUCUGAACGUUUGACCUCGGAUCAGGUAGGAAUACCCGCUGAACUUAAGCAUAUCAAUAAGCGGAGGA
rnacentral:misc_RNA from 1 species